rnacentral:lncRNA from 1 species
CGGACAGAAACGUUCAUGGCACUAGGGGAAAUAACGAGUACUACUUCUCUUCGUCUUCAUCUUACACAGCCACCAUCCUCCCUCUCUCGAAACCCUGCCACUUUCAUCACCCGAUCUAAUCCCAAGUCGCCGCCACCUCCUCAUUUUGACUCCGAUCAAUGAAAUCAUCAUUCACGGCCAUCACCGGCCCCCCUUUUAUUUCCAACAACGAUCCGUGUCCAACCCCUUCUUUGAAUCCUCGAUCGAUUAAGUCCUCACCGAGUCUUCCUCCCUCAUUUUCGCUUCCGGGAGAUCGACGACGUUAAGAGAGAUCAUCUGAACCCAUCUCGACGACGGUAAGUCGAUUCUUAUCCUUAGAUUCGAUUUCUUUUUUUGUUUAGAUCAGAUUUUUACAAGAGAUGCGAUUUCAUCCUAGGUACAGAAGGGCUCGCCGGCGAUUUCCACCUUCUCUUGACAACUCAUCAGCGAUAAUGACGGUGGUGAUCCCCUCUUUGCGACCGUCGCGGCGAUUACGGACCCGAUGAGCUUCCCCAUCCACUAUGCGUACUGUUCCUCUCUUCAAUCUGAGUAAAAACUAUCACCAAACUGCCACAAAAUUCAGCCCCAUUGUCAAACAGAAACAUCCAUCAUUCCAAGCCAAUGACCAAGACAGUCCAAAUGGAAACAACAAAUCAGAAAUCACAUUGUCUGAUUUCGGACUAACGCCUUGCUUGGUAGAGCGUCUUCAGAAAUCACAUGGUCUGAUUUCGGACUAACGCCUUGCUUGGUAGAGCGUCUUAAAACCAUGUAAACCAUGUAUUUUAUGUGUAUUUGAAAUGUAAGGGAUUGAUAGUAAAGAUUUUGUUAAAAUCUUUUGUUUGAUAGUUAUGUUAAUCGUAAGGGAUUGAUAGUAAAGAUUUUGUUAAAAUCUUUUGUUUGAUAGUUAUGUUAAAAUGAGAUUUAAGAAAUUAAAAUAGGAUUUGAAAAGUGUAUUUUAAAGUGGAAUUUGAAAUCUUAUUUAUAUUAGUAAGAUUUGAGAAUCUUUACAAGCAUAUAUUUAAAAAUUUAAAUUAUAUAUAUUUGAGUUUUUAUUUUUGCAUACUAAAUAAAAAAUUCAAACAAAUACAUAAAUUUUGAAAUACAUCAUUUAAAAUCACUUCAUACCAAUCAAGGUUAAGUAAAUUGCAUGAGAAUAAGACCAACUUGAAUGACAGCUCAGAAAGGUUUGAUUGCCCAAUACCUACUAGAAAUGCCACUCCCCAUCAGAGUGAAUAUAAGCCCCUUAAGGAUAACAUGUCAUAACUCCCAAACGCAUAAAAGUACCAAUUAACACAGUAACCCUGUACGUGGUUUAACUGGUUGAUUAUCACAUUUUUAUAAUAACCUAAUUAUAAUUUUUGAUUAUCUAAUAAUAUAACCUUACCCAAUCAUUAAAUAAAAAAUGAAUGAUUUAGUUGAAACAAUGAGUCGGUUUGAUUACAAAUUGAUUUGAUUAAUAUAAAUAUAUUUAUUUUUCGAAUAACAACAACACCUAGAAAAUAUUUCUGGGCACCAAACAAUAGCCUUAAAAGCGAACAAACCCAGAGAGUUGAAACCAUUUGAACACAUGCCAUAACAAUUAAUAAUUAAUAAUUUUAAAUAGGCAAAAAGCUCUAAAAAAUCACCAAUUUUUCUGAAAUUUAAAAAUAAAUACUAAUAGCACCAACUUCUCAAUUUUUUAGAUUAAAAUAACCCGCUAUUUAUAUCCAUCAAGUUAAAUUGUAUGAUUCAAUUUAUGGAAUGCUGAGUCAACGAAAGUUGAUAUUUGAUCCAGAAGAUUGUCUACGUGUCUUGCCACGUAGAAUUUGUUAAAUGAAGUAAUUUAUUUAGAAACCAAAAUAAAUUUCGUAUAACUUAAAAGAAAGAGAAAACUCCCUAAUCUAAACGCAAAACAAAAUUCCAUAUCUUAUCCCUUCUUCAUCAACACCACCCAUUAGCAAUCUGAACAUAAAACCUUUAAUCUUCUAUCUUCGACACAAAUCCUAAUCUACACUCGAAUAUACAANNNNNNNNNNNNNNNNNNNNNNNNNNNNACCUGAGAACUAAUCGCUUCCUUUCUUUCGGGAGGAGACGAAAAUAAGGAUUGGAGUACUGCGAGGAGGCGGCGGCGGCAGGAUUGGAGUAUUGCGAGACGGCGGCGGCGACAGGAUUGCGUAUUGAUCAGAGACGGCGACGGCGGGCGAAAAGGAUUGGAGUUUCGAAGAGUUGAGUUUUGAGAAGUCGUGAGAAAGUGAGUUUUGCUGCUGUUGCUUUUGGAAUCUUAUUUCC